rnacentral:rRNA from 1 species
GCCAGUGGUAUAUGCUUGUCUCAAAGACUAAGCCAUGCAAGUCUCAGUAUGAGUUAUCUUGUUGACGAAACUGCGAAUGGCUCGGUAAAACAGCAAUAAUUUCUUCGGUGAAUGAUUUACUCAACGGAUAACCGUAGUAAUUCUAGAGCUAAUACGUGACCACUCAAGGUGACUGGCGCAUAUUGUGUGUAAAAGCACAAGCACCGUCACCAGGCCGUUUAGAUAACAACACCAACAUAUGGUGAUUCAUAAACGUCUUUCUGAUCGUUCGUGAGAACGACGCACCGUUCAAAUUUCUGACCUAUCAACUUUCGAUGGUAAGGUAGUGUCUUACCAUGGUGGCAACGGGUAACGGACCGUGGGUGCGGGACUCCGGAGAGGGAGCCUGAGAAACGGCUACCACAUCCAAGGAAGGCAGCAGGCGCGCAACUUACCCAAUCCAGACUCUGGGAGGUAGUGACAAGAAAUAUCAAUAGGGGAUCCUAUGGGUCUUCUAAUUGGAAUGAGAACAAGCUAAACAGCUUAUCGAGAAUCCAGCAGAGGGCAAGUCUGGUGCCAGCAGCCGCGGUAAUUCCAGCUCUGUAAGCGUAUACCAAAGUUGUUGCAGUUAAAACGCUCGUAGUCGGAAUUUGGCGGUCUCACAAAGUGAUUGCGAAUCGCUCGUACACUUUGCUUGGGAUCCGCUUUUGUGGGCGGGGUACCACUCUUCUGGGUGGGCUCCAAUUGCGUGGGAUGAGGUACAUUCAUUUGUAAACGUCCUUUACGCACCCACUCUUUACUGUGAGAAAAUCAAAGUGCUCAAAGCAGGCUUGUGCCGUGAAUGUAUUAGCAUGGAAUAAUAGAAUAGGACUUGGUCUUAUUUUGUUGGUUUGUUGUUAAGGUCGAGUAAUGAUUAAGAGGGACAGUUGGGGGCAUUUGUAUUCCGGCGCUAGAGGUGAAAUUCUUAGAUUGCCGGAAGACAAACUGCUGCGAAAGCGUCUGCCAAGGAUGUUUUCAUUGAUCAAGAACGAAAGUAAGGGGAUCGAAGACGAUCAGAUACCGUCGUAGUCUUUACUAUAAACGAUGAGGACUGGGGAUCGGGCGAGGAAUUACGAUGACCCGCCCGGCACCCUUCGAGAAAUCAAAGUGUUUGCUUUCUGGGGGGAGUAUGGUCGCAAGGCUGAAACUUAAAGGAAUUGACGGAAGGGCAUCACCGGGUGUGGAGCCUGCGGCUUAAUUUGACUCAACACGGGAAAACUUACCAGGUCAGGACAUAGUGAGGAUUGACAGAUUGAGAGCUCUUUCUUGAUUCUAUGGUUGGUGGUGCAUGGCCGUUCUUAGUUGGUGGAGUGAUUUGUCUGGUUAAUUCCGUUAACGAGCGAGACCUGGGCGUGCUAACUAGGGGCCACUACUGCUUUUGCAGCAGCAGCGCUUCAUUGUGUUUCGUUGUUGUUUGCGUAGUGCGCAUUUAUACCCUUCUUAGACGGACAGUGGGCGUCUAGCCCACGGAAGCUCCAGGCAAUAACAGGUCUGAGAUGCCCUUAGAUGUUCUGGGCCGCACGCGUGCUACACUGAGUGGGUCAGCGGGUUAGGUUGCGCGAAAGUGUUUCCUAAUCUUUAAAUCCGCUCGUGAUGGGGAUUGACGGUUGCAAUUUUCCGUCAUGAACGAGGAAUACCUUGUAAGCGCGGGUCAUCAUCCCGCGCUGAAUACGUCCCUGCCCUUUGUACACACCGCCCGUCGCUCCUACCGAUUGAGUGGUCCGGUGAGGCUUUGGGAUCUAGAUAGAAACCGCGCUUGUCGCGGUUUCCGUCCGGAAAACUCAGUCGAACCUUAUCAUUUAGAGGAAGGAGAAGUCGUAACAAGGUUUCCGUAGGUGAACCUGCAGAAGGAUCAAGCUA